rnacentral:rRNA from 1 species
GACAGAGGGGGCAAGCGUUGCUCGGAAUUACUGGGCGUAAAGGGCUCGUAGGCGGCCAACUAAGUCAGACGUGAAAUCCCUCGGCUUAACCGGGGAACUGCGUCUGAUACUGGAUGGCUUGAGUUUGGGAGAGGGAUGCGGAAUUCCUGGUGUAGCGGUGAAAUGCGCAGAUAUCAGGAGGAACACCAAUGGCGAAGGCAGCUCGCUGGGACGUGACUGACGCUGAGACGCGAAAGCGUGGGGAGCAAACAGG